rfam:Pteropus alecto contig88382, whole genome shotgun sequence.
GCUAAGGCUCUUUUCAGAGCCACAGAGCUUGGAGAACGUGUCAUAU